AUAUCAUGUUGAGGGUAGCUUGUGCACAGCCUUUUAAAUCUUUCCCAAUAUUCAUAUAGCUCUUCAUAAUCCUUUUGCUUGAUGCAAUUGAUCUCUCUUCUGAUUCC